rnacentral:rRNA from 1 species
CACGUAGGGCGCAAGCGUUGUCCGGAAUUAUUGGGCGUAAAGAGCUCGUAGGCGGUCUGUUGCGUCCGCUGUGAAAACCCGGGGCUUAACCCCUGGCUUGCAGUGGAUACGGACAGACUAGAGGUAGGUAGGGGAGAAUGGAAUUCCCGGUGUAGCGGUGAAAUGCGCAGAUAUCGGGAGGAACACCGGUGGCGAAGGCGGGAUCCUGGGCCAGUACUGACGCUGAGGAGCGAAAGCGUGGGGAGCAAACAGG